rnacentral:lncRNA from 1 species
GAUCUCCCGGCGGGCUGUGCGGCCCGGCUCUCCGGCGGCAGCGAGUGCCACGUCCCAAGUGCUACGCGGAGGAUUAGAGCAGGCGGUGCGCUGGGGGCGGGAGCAGCGCGGAGCCCGGCUCGGCCACACCGAUCGCCCGCCGCCAUGGGCUCCUCGCAAAGCGUCGAGAUCCCGGGCGGGGGCACCGAGGGCUACCACGUUCUGCGGGUACAAGAAAAUUCCCCAGGACACAGAGCUGAAUAAAGACAAUGACACUCUUAAGGAUCUGCUGAAAGCAAACGUUGAAAAGCCUGUAAAGAUGCUUAUCUAUAGCAGCAAAACAUUGGAACUGCGAGAGACCUCAGUCACACCAAGUAACCUGUGGGGCGGCCAGGGCUUAUUGGGAGUGAGCAUUCGUUUCUGCAGCUUUGAUGGGGCAAAUGAAAAUGUUUGGCAUGUGCUGGAGGUGGAAUCAAAUUCUCCUGCAGCACUGGCAGGUCUUAGACCACACAGUGAUUAUAUAAUUGGAGCAGAUACAGUCAUGAAUGAGUCUGAAGAUCUAUUCAGCCUUAUCGAAACACAUGAAGCA